AUGCAGUCCACCUGAAUAUACACAGAGCUUGCCAGAGCUGUAUGCUUCCUACCAGACAGAGUAAACACAUGAGGAACAAAUGCUUUUCUUUCACAGACAAGGACAAGUAAAAGAUCACAAAGUCUUAAGGAAGGAGAUUAAAGCAAUCAAGAAGCACUAUCAAAGCUCUGCUCCUACUACCUGAGUUUUUGAGUUCUUAGCGGAUUUCAAGCUGCCAAUUUCUGAGCUUUCACAGCCUUUGAUGUGAUUCCAGCUUUCUAUGAUACAGGUUGUACUUCCUUAUGGGGCAUGCACACCUUUUAAGUCACAGUGGUAAACAAUGUCCUGAAGAACCUGGGGGAGAUCCAGGAGCAGGAAGAUGAAGAAAGCUUCCUAUGAGUACUAAGGAAGAACGACCAUUCUGUGAUGGGGCUAUGGGGACAUGGACAUACAUCCCUUUUCGGUGACUGUCACGCACUGCAAUGUAUUGUACCUCGAGCAGGAACUCAGCUAUUGUCCAACGUAAAGAUGGUUUUUUUUGCA